rnacentral:lncRNA from 1 species
UUUUUUCUUUUUUUUGGUUCAUUUUUAAGAGGUCAGUAACUAGUAGGAGUAUAAGUUGGUAAAAUCCUUCUGGUGGGAAUUUUGUCAACUAAAUAUGAAGAGUUUGAAAAGUGUUCCCAUACUUUUCAUACUUACAGAAAUCCUCUUUAAAAAUGUUCUAUAGGGGAUCCCUGGGUGGCUCAGCAGUUUGGCGCCUGCCUUUGGUCCAGGGCGUGAUCCUGGAGACCCAGGAUCGAGUCCCAUGUCAGGCUCCCUGCGUGGAGCCUGCUUCUCCCUCUGCCUGUGUCUCUGCCUCUCUCUCUCUCUCUCUCUCUCUCUCUGUCUCUCAUGAAUAAAUAAAUAAAAUUUAAAAAGUAAAAUAAAAAUGUUCUAUAUAUGUAAUUAAAAAUGUUGACAAAUUCCAUAGGUAGGGAUCUAUACAGUUUUCAAAUAUACUUAAUAUUCUUAAUAUCUAACUUCUUCUCACACAACUUUCUAACUUAUAGCCUAUAAGGGUUCUUCGUGUAUAAUUCUGUACAUUAAAAAAAAAAAAAAAAAAAAACCCUUUAGCUUCCGAAAGUUACCUUGUUAGGACAAGGUGUUUACCAACCAUUCCCUCACAUACUGUGCUCAAGUCUAGCUCCUUCCCCUCUUUCCAGAUGAAGAAGUCACAUAGCUACAGUGUUGAAAAAUAUUUGGAAAAUAUGUCCAAAACUUGAGUACUGGUUAAAUAAAUUACAGAGCAUUCAAAUGAUGGCAACCUGGGCAGUAAUUUCAAGUUGUAUUUUGGGGGACUUUGAACACAGAUAUUCUCUCCUGAAAUAACACUGACAUAAAGGCUUAGAAGUUAAACAAACAAAUAUAAAACUUCACGAGUGAAGAGAAUGGGUGGUAGCAUCACCAAUGAAUGAGAUAUUCAACAAAUUUAAGAAUGACAUGGAAAAGAUAAUGUUGAUGUGUCUUUUAAGGGGGAGAGAAGGCUGAAGCCCCAAAUAUUCUAUAAGAAGACUGAGAGUAAGUGUGUAUUAAUCGGCCCAUUUCACCCCUCAAGAGAUUCUGAUCUUAAAAUCAGUGGUUAUGAGAGAGAUAGGUCUUAGAAGAGAAAUAGGACUAAAGCAGAAGUAUUGAAUGGGUCAGUUUAGACUAACUUAUUAGUUUGUACUACCAACUAGAAGAAAAAUUAAGCUUGCUUUCAAGUUUCUAAAUGAAUAUUAAACCUAGAAUUUCAUAUCCAAACAAAUAAAUAAUUUAUCAAAUAUGAAGACAUUUUCAAACUUUCAAAGAUAAGUCUGUUUGCUAAGUAAGUUUCUUGAUCCAGUAAAGCAUGGGAGUAAAUAAUAGAAGGAUAAAAUUUUGGUACCCAGUAAAAACCAACCAGGGAGUACAGGGAAGGAAGACCCCAGGAUGACAGCUCAGACUUGGACCCAGUCAAUAAGGUAGAAAUGGAAGAGGAUAGAGGCCUUUGAAAGGGGUGACUGAGAGAGCAAAAGAGCCUUAAUUGUAUAACUAAGGAUACUUAAAGACUGGGAAAAUAUAAUAAUAAGAUAAAAUUACAUUAUGCAAGAAAAAAAACAAUUAGAAAUUCUAGAAAAAACCUGCAUAUGAAAAAAAGAUCCAAAUAU